rnacentral:misc_RNA from 1 species
GAUGAAGAACGUAGUGAAAUGCGAUAAGUAAUGUGAAUUGCAGAAUUCAGUGAAUCAUCGAAUCUUUGAACGCACCUUGCGCCUUUUGGUAUUCCGAAAGGCACACCUGUUUGAGCGUCAUGAAUACCUCAAUCUCCAUCUUUUCUUCGGAUUGAUGGGUGACUUGGAUGUUGAGCCCUGCUGGUAUGCUAUAUCAGCUGGCUUUUAACUUAUUAGCCGGCUCUGUACUGGAUCGGUUUGACUCGACGUGAUAAUAUUAUCGUUGAGGAUGCAUGUCUCAUGCAGCCGGAAAGUAUCAAAGCAGCUUCUAGCUUGCCUUUAGUGCACUUUUACAUUUUAGACCUCAGAUCAGGUGGGACUACCCGCUGAACUUAAGCAUAUCAAUAAGCGGAGGA